rnacentral:rRNA from 1 species
GUGAUGGACUGCCUUUUGCAUAAUGAGCCUGCGAGUUGUGGUGUCUGGCAAGGUUAAGCAAACGCGAAGCCGUAGCGAAAGCGAGUCUGAAUAGGGCGCUUAGUCAGAUGCUGCAGACCCGAAACGAAGUGAUCUAUCCAUGAGCAAGUUGAAGCUAGUGUAAGAACUAGUGGAGGACUGAACCCAUAGGCGUUGAAAAGCCCCGGGAUGACUUGUGGAUAGGGGUGAAAGGCCAAUCAAACUUCGUGAUAGCUGGUUCUCUCCGAAAUAUAUUUAGGUAUAGCGUUGUGUCGUAAUAUAAGGGGGUAGAGCACUGAAUGGGCUAGGGCAUACACCAAUGUACCAAACCCUAUCAAACUCCGAAUACCUUAUAUGUAAUCACAGCAGUCAGGCGGCGAGUGAUAAAAUCCGUCGUCAAGAGGGAAACAACCCAGACUACCAGCUAAGGUCCCUAA